UUUUGUUUUUAUUACAUCCCAAGCUGUGAACUGAUUUGGAAGAAUAACCAGUUUUUCUGGCUUGAAAUGUGUAUGGUGUCAGUGCUAAUACCAUUGCUAUUGACAUAGCAUGUAACUUUAGGGAUUGUACCAAUGCAGUUAAGUAGUUAUUUACAGAUAUUUUCUUCUGUGCUUCUGUAAAACACAGUUAAAAUUAUAUGUAAACAAACACAGAAGAUCUCCUGUGUUUGGUAAUGUCAAAAAAUGCAUAAAGAAUUUUAUGGAAGGCUGACAGAUAGCCAGAACUCCUCUUUCCAAUGCCUUUCAGAACAGACUGCUUUGUGAUCUUCUUUAUAUUUAAGUGGUAUAGAAAGUCUGGGUUUUAGUGGUCUAUAUUAUCAUUAUUAGUUAGCAUAGAGUAUCUAUACAAUCUGAUGGUUUAAUCUUAUAUUGAUAAUAAAAGUGGUGAGAGGAGGGCCAAGACCUUUGUGUUUACUUCAUUAGUAUCCUCAGAUACCCCUCCUUCAUAUUAUGUGCUGAGACACGUGUUCUGUAACUUGUGACUGUUUAACGUUUAAACAUUUGAAAGAAAUUGAUUACAUUGUGAGCAGGGUGAUAUUAUUUCAGGAUGGGAUCAAUACACUGAGAAGCUAUUAUCAUUUGCAUUUCUUCUUUUUCUGUGAAAUCGGGAAGUUCCAUUUCAUGGUUUUGGUUUUUUUGUUUGUUUGUUUUUUUUUGAGAGAAAGGUGCAGCUGUUUGAUUUGUACAGUUAACCACUGCCGUCAGAUUGACUGCAUCAUGUAAUAUCUUCUCCAUUGGGCAAUGCAGGAGGGAAGCUCAGGAAGUAAAAGCAACUGAAGACAUGGGACGUGCAGUUUGCAGUACGUUGCCACUGUUUGCCAAGCCGCUAGUAAUUGAGCAUGAAACAAAUUUGGCUUCAAUUCAGUUACAAAUGUCUGUCAGCAGAGUGAAACCAACCCACUUCUCAGCACCUGGCUUAGCACAGGCAGAAAGUUGCUGUGAGGGCAGCACAACAUAUCCAGGGGAGACCACUGGUGUAAAUGAAGCUGUUGUCCCUGACUGUGGUCAUUUCUGCUCUGACAUGCUCUUAUAGGGAGGCAGGGUUGACAAUCCAAACCAAUUCUUUUCCCUUCUUUUCUUUUGACCGGUGAGCUGACAAAUCAACUAUUCCCACCGCUCUAAUUACAGUUCACAGAAUGUAUAUUUUUCAGGAAGUAAAGUUCUUGCCUCAGCCACCAAUUCCCUUUGGGCUUUACCUUUUCAAAGCAAAAUUGCCAGUUGUUUGUUCUCUCAAGGCUUUCAAGUUGUUCAACCAAGUAUGAAAUGACUGGGAAGUAGUAAUGAAUAAGUGAGCCUUUCAGCUUUUACUCAAUCUACUCACAUAAAGAAAUUUUGUUUCCUGUGUAAUUGCUGUGCAAAAAUGGGGUUUCACUGCUUUGUUCGGUUCCUCUGCUUUAGAACUAAUUUCCUUGAUGAGGCUGUACUGUGGACUGGACACUUUGGCUGGUGGGGGUGCUGCUGGAAUAACUUGUUUUACAAAGUAGGGAAAAAGUCCAGCUCUCUGACUCCUGUGUUGCAAGUUCAGCCAGUCCUUGAUGUGAGUCGGAACAAACUUAGAUUUCUUUGCAGUCAGCAAGGCUGCCAGCAGGGCAAACGAAUGUUCUGGAUUUGUUUCCUCGGUUGAACACCAAGAAGGCAGCAGGAAUAGAGACCCGUGUGGUGACUUUGCACUGCACGGGGACUCCUGGAUGAGAAUGUCCUUGUGGGACACGAAAGGCAGCUGUGGCAGGAACAACAAUCCAGCAAAGUAAAGCUGUUUCCUUUAAUAGCUCCAUUCUUUCUGUUCUAAUUUUUUUUGCACACUGUCAGAAAUAAUUAGUAUUCAAAGGUCAGUAGUGGUUUCCACUUAAUUAGUUCUGUAAACAUUUUUUAAAAGGGAAGCCUAAUGGGAUAUUUUCCAAACACGAGUAGGAGCAAGAAGCAGCGGUAGUGUGGAGUGGAGCUCCCCUGUGGACCCCUCAGUGCCAGUGCCCGCUGCUGCCCUGGGAUGCGUCUGGGCUGGAGCUGAACCCCAAACUCCUGCCUCUGUGCAGCGCUGCAGCCUCACCCUGCUCACCGGGAAGCUUUCCUGGAGUGGAACACUCAUGGCACAUCCUCUAAGGACUUCGGCCUCAAAAGACUGGGAUCUUUGCAAACAACUGCAAAAGACUUGUCUGCUUCAAACUGCUUGUGGGUGAAACUACAGCUGGAUAAGAAGCACGGUGAAGACCACCAGGGAGAUUAUCCUUCAUUGAAUCACAACUAAUGGUGACCCUGCGCUGACAAAAACUGUGACUGGGAAGAGCUUACUGGGAAAAAGACUAGCAAAAGCUGAGCUGCAUGCUGUAGUCAAUGAGGCAAUGCUGAUAAUCUGAUAAUGAUGGCACAAAUGACCUUCCAAUGUAGCUGACAAUGGUCCUCUGGAUACACUAACAACCCAGUCAUCUCCUGUCAACACUGCGGUCAGCCUCACAGCUUAGCCUCUCGCCCAAAGACAUCCAAGAUCUGUCUGAGGUCCCCGUGGACACCAGAGCAUCACCCCAACUUCUGGUGCAAGUGCUGUUUCCAGUGGUGGCUCACACUGACUCAUCUGCCAGAGCAGCAACAGGGCCCUCAAGCAGCCUCCUCCUGUUAUUCUAAGCAGAAAAGCAGCAGGAGAAAGAAGGUGCAUUGCAACGUAAGCUGUUCUUUCUUUAUCCCACUACCUGUAGUAUGGAAGUUGAAGUACAACAUGUCAGCUGGAGGUGUUUCAAUCUGAGAAUGGAAUCGGACUAGAAGUUAAAAUUGGGUUUGAUCUAGACACCCUUUGUCAGGCUCUCAUGCACUGAGGGAGCAGAUCCAUGACAGAGAGAAGAACAGAGAAGCUAUGAAAGAAAAUGCACGGGUUCCGCUGUGUGUGUCCUCAUCAACCUGUCACCAACCCCAUCUGGUCUAUCUGCCUCUGAAAAAUGAACACCACUUCACAGCAGAACAUUUUCUACAAUUCCUGACUUAGAGCAUUGUUUAUAAUUUCACUGUAGUCCUUAGAGAAACCUGUGAAUCAUUCCUGUGGCUGGUGUUGUAAAGAUAACUAAAUACACAACGAGAACGAGGGAAGGAGUGUUUGCUGUUGGUUGGAUCUCAGCACAGCUUUUGAUACUACCUCAAAUUGGCAAGGAGACUGUGAAGGUAACUCAAAGAUGACUUUUAUUUGCCUAUAUUACAAAUAGUUCACUUUCUUCCUCUUAGCCUGAGGUUCCUCCAAGGUGUGUUCUGCGUACCUGCAGUUAGAACUACUUAUUCCUUAUUCUCCUUGCCUAAAAUGCCAGUUUUCUUGUGUUUAUUUAUAUUCCAGUUAAAAAAGUGGGAAUUUUGGAGGAUUUGAGAGUUGUGGGUUUUUUUGUGGUUUGGGGUCUUUUUUUGUUUGGUUGUUUUGGGUUUUUUUGGUUUGGGGUGUUUCGGUUUGGGUUUUGUUUGUUUCUUUGUUAGAAAGCCUAGAUCCCCAGUGCCUGGCCUCUGGUACAGUCAUGGCAAGCUGUGCAGCACAGACUUGUAGCAUUAUUGUUUGGCCAGUCUUGCAGUUCCUGCCACUCACACAGCACUGAAGCAUGCAGGGAUAUGCUAGCAAGGAGGGCUAUAGGCCAAGAUGCUGCUGCAAAGGGUAGGAGAGCUCUAACCCAUGCUGCCUUUUUGCCGCUAUGUUUGCUAACAAGUAGAGGAGAUGGAGGGAUUAAAAUAAUUUUUACUGUUAUCUGCAAUUAUAUAUAUACAAUAUAGCAUAUACAUAAUAUUUUGAGGGCAUUUCAUUUUGAAUUCUUGCUAUGGUCUGGAACCACUGGUGAAAUUUGGGAGAAGAGGUCUUUGCAAGUGUAUUUGAAACCCAGCAUUUCCUUAGCAACACGCUGGUUGCACUGCAAUAACGUAGCACCGUGACCUGAGUGUGUUCCACCUUGACCUCAUGACCAUAAGAAAAAUGAUCAGAAGUUGUUGUUCCUGAAGGCAUCAUUCAGAACACUGCCAGACUUGGUGUCACUAACCAUGAGUCACAAAUCUGAUAAUGCAAUUUAAGAUAUUGAAUCAUACCCUAAACGUGUGAUUCAUUAUGGAAUUUAAAUGCCACAAGUGGUGUCCUGGACUCUAUUCCAAUAUAUAUGAGUUCAGAUACCCUUCCAAAAUAAACAAGUGACUAAGAGCCAUAAAUUUUGUUCACCUCAACCACUAAUAGUGCCCAGAAAGAUUAUGCUUCAGCUUUUCUGGCAAGGACAAGGUAAUAAACAUUCCAGUACAUACUGCCCCCCACUCCCUGUUUCUCUCUGAGGACACUGAAAUGAAAAGUUGAGCAUCUCUGGCAGGGGGCUUAAUUCUACUUCCAGCAAAGAGAGGUAAAGUGACCUUACAGCUUUCAUUGACCCCUAUGGUAAUCCUUGCUUUCUUGAGGCACAGUCUGAUAAUUGUGUUCAUGGCAAAGCUUAUGGGAGAAUGCAAGUGAUCUGCCCCACAUGUGCUCCAAAGGGAAUCUGAAGAACCUGAAGCACUGGAAGAAAGAGGACUUCUCCAGAGCAGAUCUGACACAGCACUCUGCCUAUGUACAUGGUCAAAGUACUGCCUUCAGCUACUGAGAGUAAAAUACUAUUUGCUGGAAAGCAACCAUUGCCCAUGAGAUGCAAUGUCUCUUUCAGAGCAAUAUCUCUAAGUUUUUGUUAUUGGUGCACACUGUCUACCUCCAGAAAAAGUCUUUAAUGGUUUGGAGUUGGUAGAACCAUCACUUUGAGUGGAAUAUCUCUUACUAAAGUUCAACACCUUUUGGGUCUGUGUUCAACGACUUGCUGGGUCUGCCCCUGUCUCUCAAUAUUAUCGUCUGCUGGAUAAACUAUAUUUGUAACUACUCCAUGCAGUCCUGUGAGUUGUGUUGGUUUUAUUUAAACUUGUUUGUUUUCAAUAGACUCUCAGAGCACUGUAUGCCUCAGGACAUAGAUUCCCACAUUGCUGUUUCCUCUUUUUAGCAGUUCCAGUAAUGACUCCCAGUUACUCAAGCCUGUAUACAGAUGAGGGAUGCAAGCAUUCUGGUAAUUUGAGCAAGUCAUUUUGACAGAGGACCCAUUUAGCAAACAGCAAAGAAGCAGAAGGUCCAAUUGCUAAAGACGGUUACUCACACAAGAAUCACGAUCACCUGUACACACCAAUAAAACAAAAAGAACGUUCAUAAACCAGCAAGAAGAUGUUACUUGAGAUCACACUCACACUUUUAAACACAUAAUACUCCAAAUAUGAUAGUUACAGAGUUAUUUUAAGUGCCUUCAGCACUUUUGCAUUAUAACAAUAUGGGCUUUUUAGAAUUGGAAGUUGAUUUUGGCCAUGUUCAAAUAUUGAAAUAUAAAUAUAGAGAUUUGUUAGAAGAAAUCUGGGCAAAAUCAUGUAGGAUCUCAGUUGUGAAAUAAAGAAAUAUUCUUGCUGAAA